rnacentral:rRNA from 1 species
UACGGAGGGUGCAAACGUUGCUCGGAAUCAUUGGGCGUAAAGAGCUCGUAGGCGGCUUGGCAAGUCGGGUGUGAAAACUCCAGCUCAACCUGGAGACGCCACCCGAUACUGCCAUGGCUUGAGUCCGGUAGGGGACCACGGAAUUCCUGGUGUAGCGGUGAAAUGCGCAGAUAUCAGGAGGAACACCGGUGGCGAAGGCGGUGGUCUGGGCCGGUACUGACGCUGAGGAGCGAAAGCGUGGGGAGCGAACAGG